UACGGAGGGUGCGAGCGUUGUCCGGAAUUAUUGGGCGUAAAGCGCGUGUAGGCGGCUUUGCAAGUCGGGUGUGAAAGCCCUCGGCUCAACCGAGGAAGUGCGCCCGAAACUGCAGAGCUUGAGUACCGGAGAGGAUGGCGGAAUUCCCCAAGUAGAGGUGAAAUUCGUAGAUAUGGGGAGGAACACCGGUGGCGAAGGCGGCCAUCUGGACGGAUACUGACGCUGAGGAGCGAAAGCGUGGGGAGCGAACAGG
rnacentral:rRNA from 1 species